rnacentral:rRNA from 1 species
AUAGCGUAUAUUAAAGUUGUUGAGGUUAAAAAGCUCGUAGUUGAACCUUGGGCCUAGCCGGCCGGUCCGCCUCACCGCGUGCACUGGCUCGGCUGGGUCUUUCCUUCUGGAGAACCUCAUGCCCUUCACUGGGUGUGAUGGGGAACCAGGACUUUUACUCUGAACAAAUUAGAUCGCUUAAAGAAGGCCUAUGCUCGAAUACAUUAGCAUGGAAUAAUAGAAUAGGACGUGUGGUUCUAUUUUGUUGGUUUCUAGGACCGCCGUAAUGAUUAAUAGGGACAGUCGGGGGCAUCAGUAUUCAAUUGUCAGAGGUGAAAUUCUUGGAUUUAUUGAAGACUAACUACUGCGAAAGCAUUUGCCAAGGAUGUUUUCAUUAAUCAGGAACGAAAGUUAGGGGAUCGAAGACGAUCAGAUACC